rnacentral:rRNA from 1 species
AUUGAACGCUGGCGGCAUGCUUUACACAUGCAAGUCGAACGGCAGCGCGGGCUUCGGCCUGGCGGCGAGUGGCGAACGGGUGAGUAAUACAUCGGAACGUGCCCAGUAGUGGGGGAUAGCUCGGCGAAAGCCGGAUUAAUACCGCAUACGACCUGAGGGUGAAAGCGGGGGAUCUUCGGACCUCGCGCUAUUGGAGCGGCCGAUGGCAGAUUAGCUAGUUGGUGGGGUAAAGGCCUACCAAGGCGACGAUCUGUAGCUGGUCUGAGAGGACGACCAGCCACACUGGGACUGAGACACGGCCCAGACUCCUACGGGAGGCAGCAGUGGGGAAUUUUGGACAAUGGGCGAAAGCCUGAUCCAGAAAUGCCGCGUGUGUGAUGAAGGCCUUCGGGUUGUAAAGCACUUUUGGCGGGAACGAAAAGGACUGUGCAAAUACCACGGUUCGAUGACGGUACCCGCAGAAUAAGCACCGGCUAACUACGUG